rnacentral:lncRNA from 1 species
GAAGAACAAUGCAAAAACAAGGGAGAGUAAGAGAAGGUGGGCUAGGAGCCAAUCCCUCAAUCUCCCUCUCCCUUCUUCGGUUUCCUUGGAGGCUGAGAAGACAGCUCUGUCGGAAAGAUUUGGCUUGGGUCCUGGCUAGGUCAUGUGAUCUGUGUGUUCAUGGAAAGCUGCCUCGAAGUUCUCGGAAUUACUCAGGAUUCUUUCCCAGUCCUUCAUGGGGCCUCUAAUGAAGUCUGAGCUGUAGCCUGGGGUUGAUGCCAGCCUGGAAUGCAAGGAGACUGAAAGCUGACACCCGUUCAACGGAGCAAAGGGCCUUGCACUGAGGUUGUUGCCAUGACAACCUGGGGCACAACAAUGGCUGCUUUGUUGAUCAAAUGAUUUGGUCAACCAUAUUGGUCGUUUUCCAGAAGGUUGGGCAGACACUGGAGCCCUUGAAAGGUGUGAACGUCUGUGAAGGGGUGGUGACCUUGAGGCUGGCUGGCUGCACUUGAGAUCAGAUCCUCCAGCUUUGGUAUCAGACCAUGCCCGUGCUUUGCUGAUGACACUGCUGUCUCUUGGGAUGCAGUUCUGAACUAAGUACUGCAUUCCACACUCCACGCUCCUGGGAGAGUUUUUAAUCUUUUCCAUUUUUUUUUUUUUUUGGUACGGGUAGAUGGUAUGCAUUUUCUGAUUUUAAAACAAAGUUGUUACAAGGUGGUUUCUAUUUUGAGGUUUUUUUUUUUCUUUCCUAGAAAGGAAAGAGAGGUUAAAUUGUGUUUUAUAUGAAUUCAAAGAAGGCUGCUUUGAGAAUAAAUAGCUGCCUGGCUGUAUGACUGUUGAGGUAUAACAUGACACAUGAUUCUGUGUAUAAGUGUGAUUGCCUUCAGAGGAUAACUGAGAAACUAAACUCAAUAUAUACUUGCCAAAAUAUCUUCUCCUGGGCCAUCUCCUCUCAAGUACAAUGUGUAUUCAGGCACCUGCAACCUCAGUUGUUUGCCUGGACAGCUAAGAGAUCUAUCGGGGGAGAAACGGAGAUCUUAAUCUGUGGCUUUUAGAGACAUUUGGUUUGGGUGUUCAAUCCUGUCUUAGAUGAUGGAAAUAUGUCUUAAGGAAAACAAUCAAACAGACAAAAACCUCAAAAGAAACAAAUAAUACUUUCUGGGACAGGAGAGAUGGCUUUAAGCCUGCUCAGGACCUGCAUUCAAUCUCCAGCUUCCAUACAAAAUGCUGAGCAUGGUGGGUUGUUCCUAUCAUCCCAGCAUGGAGGGACAGGGAGAUGGGAGGUGAACCCCUGGCAUUCACGACCUCACCACCCUACCUUAAUCAAUGAGUACCAGAUCCCAUGCCAUCUUGGACUGGCAGAACUGUGUCCUAAAACUAUCCUGUCAAAUUCUGUCUGGACCAGAGGAGGACAAUUGUAUCAAUACACACCCUGGAGACUGAUUGACAGAUCUGUCAGCAUCACAGACUCAAGAUGUCGAGGAUGCCAGAAACUGAAGGAUAGAGUUUCUGAAACACUUUCCCAUUAGGUGGUGGGCCAUGCUUAUCUUACCUGGUGCCUUCAUUUGGGUUCAUUGCUGUGAAGAAGACAACAUGACCAAGACCACUCUUAUAAAGGCAUACGUUUAAUUGUGGCUGGACUACAGUUCGAAAGGUUUGGUCCACUGUCAUCAUGGGCAGGAAGCAAGGCAGCAUGCAGGUAAACAUGAUGCAGGAGAAGCUGGAAGUUCUACGUCUUGAUCCAAAGGCAGCUAGAAGAGGACUAUCUUCUGAAGGUGGCCAUGAGGAGACUCUCUUCAGAGCUGGAUGGAGCUUGACCACUAGGAGACCUCAAAGCCCACCCCCACAAUGACAUACUUCCUGUAACAAGGCCACACCCACUCCAACAAGACCACACCUCCUAAUAGUGCCAUUUUCCAUCGGCCAAGCUUAUUCGAACCAUCACACUCAGGAAGCCAUUUUGUCUGUUGAGAGAGAGAGAGAGAGAGAGAGAGAGAGAGAGAGAGAGAGAGAGGCAUGUCACUAUCUGCAGAAACCAGGAGAGGGUUUCAGACACCCUGGAACUGGAGUUACAGAUGGUCGUGAGCUGCCUGAUAUGGAUUCUAGGAACUGAACAUGGGUCCUCUGCAAAAGCAGUAUACACGCUGAACCACUGAACCAUCUCUUUGUGGCAGGGCCUACUGCUCCAGGGGCUGCAGGUAUACAUGGAAAGGGCUCUGCCAUAGUGUAACAGACCUACCUCUAGUCCAGGUGAGUCUCUCCCAAAUGGUGACACCUUUGGGGACAGAUUUAAAAAAAUCCAGGAAAACUCACAAAGGACCAAGGACAUGGAGCCCAAGACCCUACUUCUCCUAAACAUCUGAAUCAUCUUCAGGCUUGCCUUUCCCUGGGUAGCAGCUUGUUAACUUUGAAACAAUCGGCUCUUUAACAUCUAAUUUGCUCAAGAAUUUUUGGAUGUAAGUUCUCCUACAUUUCCAGAAGGCUACCUUGUAGUAUAGCCUGUUUCCCAGAACCUGAAACAAAUUAGAUUAAUCAUACUAGACACAAAAUAAAAAGUGCCUUGUGAAGCCGGUCUGGGCAAGCCCUGAGAUUCCCUCAGGUUGCCCAAGGAGAGAGCUUUGGAGUCCUCAGCUGCCACCCACCCUGUGUGAGAACAGAGACCAGAGUCUGAGCUUUGGGGAGUACUGCUGUGUUAGGGUCCAGUCAACUCCCAGAAUUCUCGCCAAUGAAAGAACAGGCAAGCAACAGUCACCCACUUUGGGGUAGCUUUGGAAAAAGCGAUUUUUUUUCUUUGUAUACUCCAGUUUAAAAUGCAAACAUUUUGUGUUUCGUUAUGACCAUCCACCAAGCUAUCUGCACUCCUCUUCUUGACUUGACACCUAUCGUGCCCCACUUAUACACCCCCCCCCCCCGUCUCUGUGUGUCUACAUGCUGGGGAAUGUACCUCACACUGUACAUUUCUUCCUCAAAGCUCCAUGUGCCCUUCCUGAAUGUCAAUGAGUCACAGGGGAUUUCAGCCCCUAACUAGGUUGAUCACAGGCUCAAGUAAGGCAUAAGCCCUGGGUUAACACUCAGCUGAUCUCCCCUGCUCUCCCUUGUUUACUCUGUGUUGAUCAGAGCAGAGGAAGGGGCAGAAGAUUCCAGCAGCCUGGUCUCUGCUUACACAGAGGGGAUACAGAGGUGGUAGACUCUAGGUUUCUUCAGGCUCAGAAGUCAGGGCUUUAGAACCAAAUAGAAGUAUGUCUGGCCAUCUACUUUCAUCACUAAACAUUUCGAGGGCCAUGAAAGGAAAAGCCUUUCUAAUCAUGCCUGUGUCCCCACUAGAGGAAGCAGAAUGAAGCAUCAUUAGCUUUGCUGGGAAUCGUGGUGACUCCAAGCCCACGGCCAAAGGGUCACCCCUCUCUCUUCUAAGGAAUGCUUCUCUAGGUUUCUAUGGAAUUCCAGAUUUAGAAUCUGCCAUCAGUGAUCUACAACUUUCCAAAAGAAUUUGUGACCAAAGUCUGUCUGGCGUCAUGGGAGUUGGCUACGGUAGAGUUAGAAUCUCUGGACCUGUCUGGGUGUUCUACUCCUGGCCUCUCUCUCUUCCCGUGUCCUUAGACAAGUGACUUCCUUCUUGAGUCUGGGCCUCCUUCACUGUUAAAUGGCCAUGCUAAUACCACCUUCUUAGUUAAGGCUAUAGGAGAGAUCAUUAUUUGAAAGAAAAAAGAAUCAUGGCAUUUUUUUUUCUUUAGUAAAAAUAAAUAACUUUUACUC